rnacentral:rRNA from 1 species
CGUAGGCGGAUAAUUAAGAAUACAGUAAAAGACUGAGGAUUACCCUCUUUAAUCUGCAUUAACUGAUUAUCUGAGUUUCAUUGGCGGUUUAUUGAAUUCUUGAAGGAAGGGUGAAAUUGUUGAUAUUGGAAGACAUUCGAUAGCGAAAGCAUUAACCGAGGUGAAUCUGACGCUAGGUACUAAAGUAUGGGGAUAAAUAGGAUUAGAGACCUAGUAGUCCAUACCUUAACAAUGAGUGUUUAACAUCUUUUGGCAUUCGUGCCAUCUGGGGUUUAAAGCUAACGCGUGAAACACCGCCUGGGGACUGUGGCCGCAAGGUUAAACUCAAAGGAAUUGACGGUGACUUAUACAAGG